GACGAACGCUGGCGGCGUGCUUAACACAUGCAAGUCGAACGGAAAGGCCCUGCUUUUGUGGGGUGCUGGAGUGGCGAACGGGUGAGUAACACGUGAGUAACCUGCCCUUGACUUUGGGAUAACUUCAGAAAACUGGGGCUAAUACCGGAUAGGAGCUCCUGCUGCAUGGUGGGGGCUGGUAAGUUUCGGCGGUUGGGGAUGGACUCGCGGCUUAUCAGCUUGUUGGUGGGGUAGUGGCUUACCAAGGCUUUGACGGGUAGCGGGGCUGAGAGGGUGACCGGCCACAUUGGGACUGAGAUACGGCCCAGACUCCUACGGGAGGCAGCAGUGGGGAAUAUUGCACAAUGGGAGGAAGCCUGAUGCAGCAACGCCGCGUGCGGGAUAACGGCCUUCGGGUUGUAAACCGCUUUCGCCUGUGACGAAGCGUGAGUGACGGUAAUGGGUAAAGAAGCACCGGCUAACUACGUG
rnacentral:rRNA from 1 species